rnacentral:rRNA from 1 species
CGCGAAUGGCUCAUUACAACAGCUAUAAUUUACUUGAUCUUGACACAAUCCUACUUGGAUAACUGUGGUAAUUCUAGAGCUAAUACAUGCAUUAAAGCUCUGACCUCACGGGAAGAGUGCAUUUAUUAGAACAAAACCAAGCGGCUUCGGCUGUUUCUGGUUGACUCAUAGCAACUUAGCUGAUCGCAUGGUCUUAGUACCGGCGACGUGUCUUUCGAGUAUCUGCCUUACCAACUUUCGAUGGUACUGUAUUUGACUACCAUGGUGAUGACGGGUAACGGAGGAUAAGGGCUCGACUCCGGAGAAGGGGCCUGAGAAAUGGCCACUACGUCUAAGGAUGGCAGCAGGCGCGCAAAUUACCCACUCUCAGUACAUUGAGGAGGUAGUGACGAAAAAUAACGAGAUUGUUGCCCUACGGGUAUCAAUCAUCGGAAUGGGUACAAUUUAAACCCUUUAACGAGUAUCAAUGAGAGGGCAAGUCGGGUGCCAGCAGCCGCGGUAAUUCCAGCU